rnacentral:rRNA from 1 species
CUACGGGAGGCAGCAGUGGGGAAUCUUGCACAAUGGAGGCAACUCUGAUGCAGCGACGCCGCGUGAGCGAUGAAGCCCCUCGGGGUGUAAAGCUCUUUCGGCAGGGACGAUAAUGACGGUACCUGAAGAAGAAGCUGCGGCUAACUACGUGCCAGCAGCCGCGGUAAUACGUAGGCAGCGAGCGUUGUUCGGAAUUACUGGGCGUAAAGAGUGUGUAGGCGGUGCUCUAAGUUCGGUGUGAAAUCUCCCGGCUUAACUGGGAGGGUGCGCCGGAAACUGGAGUGCUCGAGCGUGGGAGAGGAAAGCGGAAUUCCUGGUGUAGCGGUGAAAUGCGUAGAUAUCAGGAGGAACACCUGCGGUGUAGACGGCUUUCUGGACCAUUGCUGACGCUGAGACACGAAAGCGUGGGUAGCAAACAGGAUUAGAUACCCCUGUAGUCG